GCCGGGUGCGGUCGUGCACGCCUGUAAUCCCAAGGGCUCAGGAGGCUGAGGUAGGAGGAUGUCAGUUCAAAACCAGCCUCAGAAACUCAGUGAGACCCUGUCUCUA
rnacentral:sRNA from 1 species